rnacentral:rRNA from 1 species
UUGCACGCUGGCGGCAGGCCUCACACCUGCCAGUCGAGCGGAUGAAGGGAGCUUGCUCCUGGAUUCAGCGGCGGACGGGUGAGUAAUGCCUAGGAAUCUGCCUGGUAGUGGGGGAUAACGUCCGGAAACGGGCGCUAAUACCGCAUACGUCCUGAGGGAGAAAGUGGGGGAUCUUCGGACCUCACGCUAUCAGAUGAGCCUAGGUCGGAUUAGCUAGUUGGUGGGGUAAAGGCCUACCAAGGCGACGAUCCGUAACUGGUCUGAGAGGAUGAUCAGUCACACUGGAACUGAGACACGGUCCAGACUCCUACGGGAGGCAGCAGUGGGGAAUAUUGGACAAUAGGCGAAAGCCUGAUCCAGCCAUGCCGCGUGUGUGAAGAAGGUCUUCGGAUUGUAAAGCACUUUAAGUUGGGAGGAAGGGCAGUAAGUUAAUACCUUGCUGUUUUGACGUUACCAACAGAAUAAGCACCGGCUAACUUCGUG